rnacentral:rRNA from 1 species
CAGUCGCCGCGGUAAUACGAAGGGGGCUAGCGUUGCUCGGAAUGACUGGGCGUAAAGGGCGCGUAGGCGGAUCACGCAGUCAGAUGUGAAAUUCCUGGGCUUAACCUGGGGGCUGCAUUUGAGACGCGUGGUCUAGAGUGUGAAAGAGGGUCGUGGAAUUCCCAGUGUAGAGGUGAAAUUCGUAGAUAUUGGGAAGAACACCGGUGGCGAAGGCGGCGACCUGGUUCAUAACUGACGCUGAGGCGCGAAAGCGUGGGGAGCAAACAGGAUUAGAUACCCGCGUAGUCCCUGUCUCUUAUAC